rnacentral:lncRNA from 1 species
AUUUUGCGUGCGUGCAUUGAUUUAGAGAGUUGGAUUGUUUGGUAGCGAAUAGUGGAGAACUCCUUCCAAAAUAGCACGCAGAUCGCGAUCCGUGGUGCUCUCCCAUUCGGAUACAAUGCAUCUAACGAUGCAAUUUCUAAAAACACUGGCGCGUUGGUCCAAAAAAAGUAUGAUAAUACUACAUAAGGCAUUGUAGUUAUGGGGGGACUUGGCCUCCGACAACGCUUAUAAGUGUCAUUUUAGGUUAGUGUUUAGGCAGAGUUUAGUGAAAGUUAAGGUUAAAAGUGGGUUAGUGCAAAGGAUUCCGAUGAUGCUUUUAAGCAUCAUCUAGCUUUUUUCCCUCAUUGGCAUCCGACGACACUUAUAAACAUCAUCUUACUAUUUGUUUUCGACAAUGCUAAUUAGUGUCGUCUUAGUUUCAUCCCUGCC